rnacentral:snoRNA from 1 species
AUGAAUGUGGAGAGUACGAGUGUAUAGCAUGCUAGAUGAACUUUUGGGAAUUAACAGGGCCACCAGUCUUUCAAGUCCAGGCUGAGUCGGUAGUAUAAUAUUCCCACAGUC